rnacentral:rRNA from 1 species
AUGCGAGUCGAACGGCAGCACAGGAGCUUGCUCCUGGUGGCGAGUGGCGAACGGGUGAGUAAAAUAUCGGAACGUAUCCAAUAAUGGGGGAUAACUAAGCGAAAGCUUGGCUAAUACCGCAUACGCCCUGAGGGGAAAGCUAGGGAUCUUCGGACCUGGCGUUGAUGGAGCGGCCGAUAUCUGAUUAGCUAGUUGGUGGGGUAAAGGCCCACCAAGGCGACGAUCAGUAGCUGGUCUGAGAGGACGACCAGCCACACUGGAACUGAGACACGGUCCAGACUCCUACGGGAGGCAGCAGUGGGGAAUUUUGGACAAUGGGCGCAAGCCUGAUCCAGCCAUUCCGCGUGAGUGAAGAAGGCCUUCGGGU